rnacentral:pre_miRNA from 1 species
UCAUCAAGGCCAAUGGGAGAAGAGAGAGAGUACAGCCCAUCUCUCUCUCUCUCUCUCUCUCUCUCACUCUCUAUAGUUAUGUAGUUAUGGGUUGGAGUAAGUGGGCUGUACCCUCUCUCUUCUUCUCUUGGCCUUUUGAUGG